GAAAUGCGAUACGUAGUGUGAAUUGCAGAAUUUAGUGAAUCAUCGAAUCUUUGAACGCACAUUGCGCCCGCCGGCACUCCGGCGGGCACGCCCGUCCGAGCGUCGCUUUCACCAAACUCGGCGGGCCCCUACCUAAGGGGCCUGCCGGCCUUGGGUACCCGUGGCUCCGCGCCGCGGGCCCCCGAAAAGCAGCGGCGGCAGCGCCCGUGAGAUCCCCUGCGUAGUAGUAACUUCACCUCGCACCGGGAGCGCGCGCGCGGCCUGCCUUGACCACCCCGGCGGCUCCUGCGCCGGACCCACCACAAGGUUGACCUCGGAUCGGGCGGGGCUACCCGCUGAACUUAA
rnacentral:misc_RNA from 1 species